UUAAGGGGUGGGGUUUAGGAUUUAGGGUUUAGGGUUUAGAGUUUAGGGUUUCGAGUUUAGGGUUUAGGGUUUAGAGUUUAGGGGUGGGGUUUAGGGUUUAGGGUUUAGAGUUAAGGGGUGGGGUUUAGGAUUUAGGUUUAUGGUUUAGGAUUUAGGGUUUAGGGUUUAAAGUAAGGUUCAUGGUUUAAGUUGAGGAGUUGGGUUUUGGGAUAAGAUUUCAAAUUUUGAAAAUGCUAUUUUGGUCAUUUUAGUUUUUGUGGACUAUUUUUGUGACAUAAACUUAGAAAUGUGCUAUUUUAGAGAUUUGCCCGUACAAUUAUUGAGGUAUUUUAACUAUUUUUUAAAAACAAAUUCUCAAUAGCUGCAUGUUAAAAAAGAACAAAAACUAAUACUCGUUUUUAAAUAAAAGGCACAAAUCUUAACAUUAUGUUAAAAAAUAAUUUAUCUCUUAUAAAGAGAAACAAUUCUUAAAACUAAUAAUUGUAGAAAUACACUUAUUGAAAUGUUUUAACAACUUUCUAAAAAAAAUUCUAAUAUUUGCAUGUUGGAAAAAAAAACAAAACUAAUGUCAGUUUUUUUUAUGAAAUAUCACAAAUCUUAACAUUAAAUGAGAUUUGUAUUAUUAUUUUUAUGAAAAGACACAACUUUUAACAUUAAAUAAAAUUUAAAAUAAUUUAUCUUUUGAUAAUGAGAAGACACAAC
rnacentral:lncRNA from 1 species